AGUUAAAUUAGAAGCAUGGGCAGCCAAAUGGAGAAUGCGCUUCAAUCCAGACAAGUGUAAGAGGUGUGAAGAAGACAUCUGGUGAGCGUGAGACACCCCGCAGCCAUCCUCGUGUGACAGGAGGACUGAGCAGGUCCCAGAGCCCCAUCACGGUGCCUCCACCUCACUCACUGGUACAUGAGAGACACAGUGACCAGAAGUUCCAGGAACUCACCAACAAGAUCAUUCCGCUGCUGACUGGAGAGGAGGGAGAGUAUAUAGAGGAACACAGCGGUCUGUACAAGGACGUGAUGAUGGAGAAUCACCGGCCCCUCACAUAACUGGAUGGGCCCAGUAACAGAGAUACCCCAGAGAGAUGACCCCGUCCUCUGUAUUCCCAGGAUUGUACAGAGGAGAAUCACAGGAUCCCACAGGAGGAUCAGUACGUGACUGAUAUGAAGGCAGAAGAUAUAGAGGGAGAAGAAGAGACGUAUGUGACUGAUAUAAAGGCAGAAGAUAUAGAGGGAGAAGAAGAGAC